rnacentral:lncRNA from 1 species
UUCCUUCUCCCUGUAGAGUUUUACCCCCUGCUCCUCUGGCCGCCCUCCGGAUGGAUCUUUGUGCUGCCAGGCAGGAAUGGGCUGCUUGGGGACCCAGUGAGCUCCGAGGGCCUUUCUGCUGCUUCCUGUACCCCUGUAUUUCGCUCGGCUCUCUGACUUGACUCAGCUCCAGGCAUCUACUCCUGGAGAAAGAGCCCAAUGAGAAGUAAUCUCUGAAGCCCAGAUUUCCUAAGGAUGAAGCUUCAGGAGAGGUCUUAUCAAUCCUGACAACAAACUUUUCUCGUCAAUUUAGUUUCAUUUAAUGGAAGUUUUAAAUGUGGAAAGUUCAGAAGGCUAUUAAAAUUGGUUCCAGCUAUCUAAGAUACACAACCACACACGCGCACACACGGUAGAGAUAAAUAUGUUCGAAAAUCCAGCUCAAUGUUACUAGAAAAUUUGAUCAGAAUCUGGUGAAAUAAAUAGUAAACUUACUAAAAAUGCCAAAUAUCCCAGAAGUUGCUUAACAUUUGAUCAAAAACUCUGUCCAGUCAAUUUCUGCUUCUUUCAAAAAUACUCUGCUGAAAAGCCAAAGGAGAAAUGGGGCUGGUACCUUCAAUAUAGAGAAUUCCAAGUAAGAUUAGAUCCCAGAAGGCUUAGUGUGGCUUUCUAGGACUCUCACUAUUAGGCAGUAACCUACCAUUCACCUCUGUUUCCCAGAUUCACCUUGUUAUACCUUAUAACUUAAAAUAUAAAUUCCAACAAUGUACUGCACUCAAAAAAAUUAUUUCUCAAUUUGUUUGCUCAUACUAUUGAUUUUUUUCUAGAAUCUAAAUAAUUGUGAAUUAACUAUGAUAGCAGUACGCACAAACAGUAAGUGAAAUCAGACCUAUUAAUUCUGAGAGGAAGGAGGUGUCCGGAUUUUCACAGAAGAAGAGCACUAAGGCCAGGCGCAGUGGCUUAUGCCUGUAAUCCCAGCACUUUGGGAGGCCGAGGCAGGACGAUCAGGAGGUCAGGAGUUCUAGACCAGCCAGACCAACAUGGUGAAACCCCGUCUCUACUAAAAAUACAAAAAUUACACGCCUGUAAUCCCAGCUACUCAGGAGGCUGAGGCAGAAGAAUCACUUAAACCCGGGAGGCGGAGGUUGCAGUGAGCUGAGAUCGCACCACUGCACUCCAGCUUGGGCGACAGAGCAAGGCUCCAUCAAAAAAAAAAAAAAAGCAAAGCACUAAAUCUCGUAUGUGAAAGAUGAGUAGAUUUUUCCUAACAGGAGCAAUAAAAAUUAGAGCUAAACAUAAUUUCAUGAAGCAAAAUAUUCAAAGAAGAUGAAGAAUGAAUAAAGACAAUUGAUCUGGUAAUUCACAAGCCAAGCUGCAGUAAGUGGUAGGAUAGAAGCUGAUUUUUAAGUGUAAAAUGAGCAAAUUAUGCUGAAUAAAGAAAUUUACUUAAAAAUUGUCAAGAAAUAACUAGAGACCCAGGGAAGACAAUUUUCAUUUUAAGGCUUAAUAAUGUUUGCAGACUGAAGGAAAAGAUGCAGUGGAGGAUGAGAGACCUUAGCAGGGGAUUAAAAUAGUGGAGCAUUUUUGUGGCAAUGCCAUUCAAUAAGGAGACAGCAUUGGAAAGAAGAGAGACAUUUAUUCCUCCUAGGUAGGAAGCAAAAAGUAGAAAUUUGUAAAGAAAAAAGUAUUUGGGAGAUAAAGAAGAAUCACAGGUGUAAUCCUUAACAUCCUAAAUCAAAAUUAUUGUUUAUGUGUUUCUCCUUCCAGAAAUGAAACUUGUAAUAGACGAUCUUUGGCUUAACAUCCUUCUAUCUCCAGCACCUGACGUAUGGCAGGUCUCUCAAUAUGUAAUUAAGAUAUGGAUCUACGGAGGUACAAUAAUUCUUGUUAUAUGAAUCACUAUUCCUGAAGUUGGAGUAUAUUGGCUCAUCUGGGAAUAGGGAAAUUGGCAGUUAGUUGAGAGACCACUGGAACACCUGCUGAAAGAAACGUGAUAAUGAUUCAAGGGGAGGAAAAAAAAAAAAAACAAGUGAGGAAUGACCAGAAUAACAUUAACUUGAAAUGGAUGCAGUCGGCAUAUUUUUGAAAAUGUUUUAAAUCAACAACUUCUAUUUGGAGAGCAGAUGUAAUUACACCAGACAGCAGAGAUAAUAAAUAAAUAUCAGUGCAGUCACAGUGGUGUGGCAGGAGUAUCAGUGCCUCGGUUGCUAUGGGCAGCAGAAGACACAGAUGCCUCUGGCAUCCUAGCUGGCAAUGAAGAAAAAUGAACACAGAAUUAGGCUUCAGGUUAGAGAAUAACAGAAUAAUAGAGGUUAGGAUUUAGACAGAAAAAAACAGGCUUGCUGGAGUUAUGGAAGUGGGAGAGACAAAACAAGUCAAAAAGAACUACUCUUCUUGUAAUUUCUCAUGUUCAAGGAAAGGAAAUGUCAGCAUUCAAAAUUGCAGAGAAUGAGAAAACAAAUGUGAUGAUUUUGAUCAGGGUCAUGUUUAUGCCGGUGAUUAACAGAUAAAAUGAAGAGUCCUUGGCAUCAUAGGAGGGACUCUGAGCCAGAGUGCCAAAAGGACCAUCUACUUAAAUGAUGGAGUUCAUAAUAAGAUUGGAGUGGAGAAAAAUUAUGAAGCAAGUACUCAGAAAAUGAGAAUGUUAGGAGGUUACAGGUUGAUGGCUUUAAGGAUGCAGUGAAUAUACGUUAUGAUAAACAUAAAGUGGGUGGUGGAACAAAAGUUGCCUGAAAUUGGCAGCUGUGAGUAAUUAAUCUUUAACAUCUCUUCCUUACUUAAGUAGAAAAAAGGCCUCCAUCAAAAUGGUGGUAAGAAUUUUAUCUAUCAGAGACAACACACUUUCAGUUGCAGAUGAGACAUGGAAAAUAUUCUCAC